AGCGAACGCUGGCGGCAGGCCUAACACAUGCAAGUCGAACGAAGUAUUCGGACUUAGUGGCGGACGGGUGAGUAACACGUGGGGACGUACCUAUUGGUUCGGAAUAACGGAGGGGAACUUCAGCUAAUACCGGCUAAGCUCUUCGGAGGAAAGAUUUAUCGCGAUCAGAGCGGCCCGCGUUGGAUUAGGUAGUGGGGGUGGUAAAGGCGAACCAAGCCUACGACCCAUAGCUGGUCUGUGAGGAUGAUCAGCCACACUGGGACUGAGAAACGGCCCAGACUCCUACGGGAGGCAGCAGUGGGGAAUCUUGCGAAAUGAUCGAAAGACUGACGCAGCCAUGCCGCGUGAAUGAUGAAGGUCUUAGGAUUGUAAAAUUCUUUUAGCAGGGACGAUAAUGACGGUACCUGCAGAAAAAGCCCCGGCUAACUUCGUGCCAGCAGCCGCCGUAA
rnacentral:rRNA from 1 species